AUGGCUGCUGCACCACCUGAACCUACUCUGAAAGGGCGUACUCUGGUUGUAAAGGAUUUCGAUGACGCCGUCAAGCAGCUGAUUGAUUUUCUGCAUCAUGGCGAUGAUGCUGCAGAAGGCAGAAUAAAAGCAUUCUUAUUUCAUGGCUGGUUCGGUCAGGGUCUGGGAGCAUCCGCCGUUCUUAGAGCUACAGCAGAACACCUCAAAUCGAAAAGAAGCAAUCCAGACAUGAAACUGCAAUUUGGUAAAGUUGUCCACGUAGACUGCUCUCUGUGGAAAAAUAGAAGGACGAUGCAGCGGGAAAUAGCAGCAGAACUGAACCUUGGGCAUUUAAUGCCUAUUUUUGAUAAGCAAGAUGAGGAUGAUGAUUUCAGAGGAGUAGAGGAUAGUUCUAGAGCAGAGCUAAUAAGCAUAGCAAGUGAGAUCUAUGAAUCUCUAAUCAAUGAAAAAUUUCUAUUAAUUCUUCAUUAUGGGGGAGAUGCAGAUAUUGAUCUGGCAGAGUUAGGCGUUCCUGUAUUUGGACCUUUUGGUAAAGCCAAGCUUUUAUGGACCAAUCAUGGAAGAUUUCAGCUCUCACAGAAACAACAGAAGUUGUUGACAUCCAGUUUCCUUGAUAUAAACAUGCUUUUCAUUACCAGCGACCACAUCUAUAUCGGGCAACAACUACGUUGUUUAUUGCACAAAGAAGCUGUUGAGGUGAUUAGUUACACCGGAAUGGAUGACAUCAACCCAGCAACUGUUGUGGAUUGCUUCUUGUACUCGCUGUUGCUGGUAGGACAACUGCGUGAAAACUCUGACACUGUUGAGUAUGAUUGGGCCACUUAUGUUUGCAACUACUGGAUAUGUGACGGAAUCCUUCAAAAGGACAGAGCUUGGGAGGUUGGCAAUGCAUUAUAUGGAGUGAUAGGCCAAUUGCGCCAUUCUUCAGAUGCAAUAGAAACUCUAUUAUAUUGGUUGGACCAACAAAUAAAAUCCUACCAAGGCUGGAAGUCAAUUGCAUCAAACCAACAAGGAGCACAAAGUAUCUCUGCUGUUCCUGUUGAUGCAUCAUCCUAUUUCUUAACAUUUAAGGGAGAUGAUCUGCUAGAACUACCGAAUGAUUUGUUUCAACUAGCCAACAACCUCCGUGUGCUAAAACUCUGCAAGUGCAGUUUUGAUUUUGCAUUCCCUCCUUUCCAAUCCUGCCACAACCUAAGGUUCCUUUGGCUUGACCAUUGUGCAAACACUGGGAAGGAUCAAGGUGGGGGAGCAUGUUUUCCAAACCUGAUAGUGCUUGAAUUGAGUCACACAGAUUAUGCCUUGCAGCAGCAGAUGAUUGAACGGAUGACCAAUCUAAGAGAGAUAAAUACAAAAGGAGUCUCAUGGAGGAAUAUAAGUCAUGCAUGGAAAACAUUACAAAAUGUUCACAAGCUCCGACUAACCGAAUCUUCGGAUGUGAUCACAGUGGACAAUUGCUCUUCCUUGGAUAUGAUCAAUCCGGAGCUCCUUGACUUGUCCGGCAAUGCCUGUAUGGAAUCAUUGCCUAGAAUGUCAUCAGCGGCAAGCCUGAAGAUGCUUGUUCUUGAUGGUUGUUCCAACUUGGAGACCGUUGCACUUGAAGGAGCUCUUCCACUGCUAGAGACUUUUAGCUUCGAUGGUUAUGGCCCAACGGAGAACUGGGCACAUCCCAUAAACUUACCCCAAAAGGAAUUUCGGCCAAAGUCUCGUGCAACUCCAAUCAAAGAAGCCAAGGUGACAAAAAUCUCCCUGGUGGGUUGUGGUCGAUUGCAUAGCAUAUUCUUGCGUGGACUGGCCAAUCUGGAUGAGUUGGACCUCUCUGAUACAUCUAUCAAAAUACUUGACCUUGGUGCCAUGGAUGUCCCCGAGCUCAGGAAGUUAUUCUUACGGGGUUGUCGGCAGCUCUGUAGCCUAGGUUGGCGUGAUUAUAACCCGUCUAGAUUGGAAGUGGUACAUGUAGACACUAUGGGGAGGAAAAGAUUAGUGGUAUGUUGUGCACAAGCGAGGGAGGACUUCUUUAGUUCUGUGGCAUGCAUUACCCUUACAGAUGCAAGAAUCCUCUGGCGGUGCAUGCGGGAACUCUUUUGGUUCAUAUAUGGUGGGGGCAAAAAGAAGUUGCACCUCCAUAUCUCUUCUACUGUUCAUAGCCAAAUUGCCAUGACCAAAAGUGUCGAGGAGAUUGGCCCCAGCAAAGUGGGUUUUGUUCCUACGGGGCGAUCGUUACCUUAUAAAGAUAUUAUCCUUCUGAAGGAUGUAGCAUGUUCAUCCCUUGUAUGCGACCAGCGGCAGCUUCAACCUCUCGAUGUGCAUAUGGAGAUUGGUGAUGAAGGCCACAAUUUGGAGAGUAUGGACACGGACAUAUAUUUCAGACGGUUCACUCUGCAUGGUGUUCAGUCCUUGCAUGUGCAUGACAAUUCCUCGAUCACCAUUAUCCCUCCAAGGGGUCCACAUACUUGGCAUAGACUAAGAUGGUGUCAUGUUGAUAGAUGUCCCAAGCUAUACUCUCUCUUUUAUUGUGAGGCUGGAGAAUUCAACUUCAUUAAUUUAAGGACAUUUUCCGCGUUUGAUCUCCCGACGGCCUGCUGCAUCUGGGGUAAAACCAAUCCCAAAGAUCCUGAAGAUUGCAUAUACCUACUAAGUGCCUUCACAGCCCUACAUUCCAUAUACCUACACAAUUGCCCCAAGCUGGUGUUUGUCCUCCCAAUUUCCUUCACCUUGCCAAGCCUGGAGACCAUACAAAUUGCAUACUGCAGCAACCUCCAAUAUGUUUUUCCACUGGACAACGAGUACCCUCCAGAGAUAGCAUCAGGCGUCACAUUCCAGAACCUGAAGCACAUUAAGCUAUACCAUCUCCACCGGCUGGAGCAGAUAUGCGAGACCAGACUGACCGCGCCGGCACUGGAGACAAUCAGCCUCAGGGACUGCUGGGGCCUGAGGCGGAUACCGGCCGUCGUCGCGCGUCAAGGUCGACCUAAGCUAGUUGUGGACUGUGAGAAGGAUUGGUGGGGCAAGCUCGAGUGGGACGGCCUGCAGGCCGGCCAUGACCCGUCGCUCUUCGAAACACGCCACUCGGCUUACUACAAGAAGACGCUCCCAAGGGUCUCUGUUCUAAGGUGA
rnacentral:rRNA from 1 species